UACAGAGGUCCCAAGCGUUGUUCGGAUUCACUGGGCGUAAAGGGUGCGUAGGCGGUCGGGUAAGUCUGAUGUGAAAUCUCACAGCUUAACUGUGAAACUGCAUUGGAUACUAUCCGGCUCGAGGAAUGGAGGGGAGACUGGAAUACUUGGUGUAGCAGUGAAAUGCGUAGAGAUGUGGAGGAAUACCGAUGGCGAAGGCAGCCUCCUGGGCCAACACUGACGCUCAUGCACGAAAGCGUGGGGAGCAAACAGG
rnacentral:rRNA from 1 species